rnacentral:snRNA from 1 species
AUCGCUUCUCUGUCUUUUGGCUAAGAUUAAGUGUAGUAUCUGUUACUAUCAGAAGUGUUGCCAAAACCUCUUCUGGUGGGACAGGUAUGAAGCCUGAUCUUCUGGCCAGGGGCCAUAUCUUCAUGAAAGAUCGAGGUGUUGUGCCCCCGUGGUGGCACAUGCACUUUACUGCUU